rnacentral:lncRNA from 1 species
UUUUUUUGCGCCUGCUCAUAAAUCUGAGAAACGUGAGUUUGUCAUCAUUUUUUAUCUAGACAUAGGAUAGGUUGUGUGAAAAUAUUACUGAUGUUUAACGUUAAAAAAUGGACCAAAAGAUUAAUGCUAAACAACAUUUGACAUGUUUGAACGAACAUAAAUAGAUUAUUUACUAGGUUUUUUUAGCUUUUCGGCGUGAUUUUACCAGCCCCCCACCACGUUUUGUGGGAGCAUAAUGAACGCUAAGUACUUGGUGUUAUUUGGACAUAAAUUAUGAACUUUGUCAAAAGAAACCACAUUUGUUCCGGACCUGGAAUGCCUUCCGGACCUGGGAUCCUGCCUUCUGAUGGAGAUAAUCAAAGGUAAUUCUAAUGGGCAUCAUGCCUACACUGGACCUGAACCAACUGGAUCCUAUGCCAAAGCAAGUGUGGUGCCUAGUCCAAAUGCUAAAGCUACUGGCCACAAUGCCACGUCAGCAGAAGCUACUGGCCACAAUGCCACGUCAGCAGAAGCUACUGGCCACAAUGCCACGCCAGCAGAAUCUACUGGCCACAAUGCCCCGUCAAGUGUGAAGUCCGGCCCCAGCGCC